UACGAAGGGGGCUAGCGUUGCUCGGAAUCACUGGGCGUAAAGCGCACGUAGGCGGAUCUUUAAGUCAGGGGUGAAAUCCUGGAGCUCAACUCCAGAACUGCCUUUGAUACUGGGGAUCUUGAGUCCGGGAGAGGUGAGUGGAACUCCGAGUGUAGAGGUGAAAUUCGUAGAUAUUCGGAAGAACACCAGUGGCGAAGGCGGCUCACUGGCCCGGUACUGACGCUGAGGUGCGAAAGCGUGGGGAGCAAACAGG
rnacentral:rRNA from 1 species